rnacentral:rRNA from 1 species
AGUGAACGCUGGCGGUAGGCCUAACACAUGCAAGUCGAACGGCAGCACAGGAGAGCUUGCUCUCUGGGUGGCGAGUGGCGGACGGGUGAGGAAUACAUCGGAAUCUACUCUGUCGUGGGGGAUAACGUAGGGAAAUUUACGCUAAUACCGCAUACGACCUACGGGUGAAAGCAGGGGAUCUUCGGACCUUGCGCGAUUGAAUGAGCCGAUGUCGGAUUAGCUAGUUGGCGGGGUAAAGGCCCACCAAGGCGACGAUCCGUAGCUGGUCUGAGAGGAUGAUCAGCCACACUGGAACUGAGACACGGUCCAGACUCCUACGGGAGGCAGCAGUGGGGAAUAUUGGACAAUGGGCGCAAGCCUGGUCCAGCCAUACCGCGUGGGUGAAGAAGGCCUUCGGGUUGUAAAGCCCUUUUGUUGGGAAAAAAAUCCAGCUGGCUAAUACCCGGUUGGGAUGACGGUACCCAAAGAAUAAGCACCGGCUAACUUCGUGCCAGCCGCCGCGGUAA